rnacentral:rRNA from 1 species
UGAGUACGAGCUGCUACGGCAGCGAAGUGGGUGAUGUCAAGCUUCCAAGAAAAGCCCUAUACCCGUUAAGGCAUGACGGCCUGUACCCGAAACCGACACAGGUGGGGUGGUAGAGAAUACCGAGGGGCGCGAGAUAACUCUCUCUAAGGAACUCGGCAAAAUGGCCCCGUAACUUCGGGAGAAGGGGUGCCACCGCAAGGUGGUCGCAGUGAAGAGGCCCAGGCGACUGUUUACCAAAAACACAGGUCUCCGCUAAGUCGCAAGACGAUGUAUGGGGGCUGACGCCUGCCCAGUGCCGGAAGGUUAAGGAAGCUGGUCAGCGCAAGCGAAGCUAGCGACUGAAGCCCCGGUGAACGGCGGCCGUAACUAUAACGGUCCUAAGGUAGCGAAAUUCCUUGUCGGGUAAGUUCCGACCCGCACGAAAGGCGUAACGAUCUGGGCGCUGUCUCGGAGAGAGGCUCGGCGAAAUAGAAUUGUCUGUGAAGAUGCGGACUACGUGCACCCGGACAGAAAGACCCUAUGAAGCUUUACUGUAGCUUGGUAUUGUGCCCGGGCUCUGAAUGCGCAGGAUAGGUGGGAGGCUUUGAUCCAUUGCUUGUGGGUAAUGGUGAGCCACUGGUGAGAUGCCACUCUUUCAGAGCUAGGGUUCUAACGGUCACCCGUUAUCCGGGGACCGGACAGUAUCAGGUGGGCAGUUUGACUGGGGCGGUCGCCUCCUAAAAGGUUACGGAGGCGCGCAAAGGUUCCCUCAGGCUGGUUGGAAAUCAGCCGACGAGUGUAAAGGCAGAAGGGAGCUUGACUGUGAGACCUACAAGUCGAACAGGGACGAAAGUCGGCCUUAGUGAUCCGACGGUUCUGAGUGGAAGGGCCGUCGCUCAACGGAUAAAAGUUACUCUAAGGAUAACAGGCUGAUCUCCCCCAAGAGUUCACAUCGACGGGGAGGUUUGGCACCUCGAUGUCGGCUCAUCGCAACCUGGGGCUGAAGUCGGUCCCAAGGGUUGGGCUGUUCGCCCAUUAAAGCGGUACGCGAGCUGGGUUCAGAACGUCGUGAGACAGUUCGGUCCAUAUCCGGUGCACGCGCAGGAACAUUGAGAGGAUUUCUCCCUAGUACGAGAGGACCGGGAGGAACGCACCUCUGGUGUACCAGUUAUCGUGCCAACGGUAAACGCUGGGUAGCCAUGUGCGGAGCGGAUAACCGCUGAAAGCAUCUAAGUGGGAAGCCCACCUCAAGAUGAGUGUUCCCAUGGCAUAAGCCAGUAAGGUCACGGGAAGAACACCCGUUGAUAGGCUCUACGUGGAAGCGUGGCAACACGUGAAGCGGAGGAGUACUAAUAGACCGAGGGCUUGACC